GUAAUUUUAUCUAUAAUACCAGCUCUUAGUUUAAUAAAAAAGAUUUAAUAGUAUCUCGUAGACUUUCAAAAGCUAACAAACCUGAGCCAGAUUUUACCCGUGGUCCAAAGUAUAAGGGUUAUUUUAAAAAUAAUAAUGUAAGGCAUCACUUUCAAAAUUGUAACAAAAGAAGUAUUGGCAGAAGGUUCUAAUGCUUGGUAGAAAAGAACACGCGCGGAUACACAGUAAAGCCAGUAAUACGAUUAAAACACCGUCUGUCGCUAUACUUGGUACUCUUUUAAAAAAAUUAGCAAUUUUAUUAGCUACUGAAUAUAUCAAAAGAGGUAAUAAGGGUUUAUAAAAAAUGUAAAAAGUUUUUUGAAACUUUUGGAAAAAGAUUAUACAAUAAUAAAUAAAACAGCAGAGGAAACUGUAGCACAAAUUAAAUGGUAUAAUAAAGAUAAAUUACCAGGUAUAAAGAACACAUAAAUUAUAUUACUAUUUGACAGACACAAGAAAUAUAUUGUAUAAUGAUCUUAUUAAAUUUUAUGAUUACAGUACAUGGUUAAAAUCAUUAGGAGUAACGUUUAUUUCUAAGCAAAUUUAUAACAGACAAAGAGCAGGUGAUAUAGUAAAAGUUCUAAUAGAAGAUUCCAAAUGUUAUGACAGUGUUGGAGAGUAUACAAACCCAGAAGUGUAUAAUUCAUUAUCAGAAACUGAAAAAGAGGUUAUUAAAAAAUUGGUCACAUUUGACAUUAAAGAACUAUGUACUUUGUCUGUAUUAUUGCAUUCGUAAUUACAACACUACGUUGAAUUGUUAUUACAACUGCAAUGUCACAAAGUUAUAAAGCAAUUGUUAUAAUCAAAUGCGUAAAUAGAAUCACGAAACCCUUCUUUUUGGCAUUCCUGGAUACGGCAAACAUCGAUAUAAACAUUCAAUGAAAACGUGUCAACUUAUGCAGGGCUGUUCUUCAAAAUGUCAAGCAGCAAAACCUCUUGCGAGCAUUCUUUAUUUGGAUCAACAAAAAGAAAGCAAUAGAUUCCAAAGGAAGCGCAAUUAAUAUUAACAAGUUUUCGUCAGGAAUAGAAAAAUCACGUCUACCUUCUGCAAGAGAUAUUGAGAUUUUAAGACAAAACAUCCAUGUCUACACAACCGUAAAGUACCUUAGAUAAAGACUUGGCUUUACAACAUUGUGUGGUACAACAAAAAUACCAAAGAUUUAAUUAAUUUCAUUA